rnacentral:lncRNA from 10 species
AUAAAUUAUAUCAAAAUAAUGGUUUUUAACUGAAUAUAUAUAUUUUUAAUGAAAAACAUGUACUUAGUUUUCUGCUCAGUUUUCCUAAUGAAUAAUUAGAGACUGUUUUCAAACAUUGUUUUCAAAGAUAGUUUCAAGAACAUAAUAUAUUUAUUCUUUGAAAAACAUAUUUUUUAUUUUUACAUUAACAACAGACAGGCCAAUAGGCAUGGAUUACAGGGGGCAUAAUCUCUCUGUAGAAUCAAAUUGAUAAUUAAAUUGCUGUGUAAGCAAAAUUAGCCAGGAGGUAAAAACAGAGAUUUAAAUGUAUGUCUUUAGUUGACAUGUACCUCUUUUUAAUAUUCCAGCACAAGACUGUACCAAUAAUUUUUACUAGGAAGUAGUAUAAUAUAGUUUUUAAGAGCAAGUGCUACAAUAUGAUAAUUGAGUUUGGAUUUUAAGUCUCCUAAUGCUCUUGUGAAAUAUUGGAUAUUUUGCUUUACUUCUAGUAGACUCAGUUUUCUGAACAGCAAGUUGGGGUAAUAUCUUAAGCACAGAUUUGCAGAAUAUUAAAUUAGACUUAUGCAUAUAAAGUACUUGGCAUAAUUCCUGACACAUAAUUCAAUAAGUUAGUGUUAUGAUUGUUAUAACUGUUGAUAAUGUAAUUAUAACCUUCAGAAAACGUAUGCUCUCUCUAAGACUCUGGGCUAUUCUAAAUGCCAACUAAUUUUCCAAGUAAACUAUUCAUUAUUUUGUUAUGUUUAAACAAACAAACAAAAAUUAGAUUUGGGAGGCCGAGGCAGGCAGAUCACUUGAGGUCAGCAGUUCGAGACCAGUCUGGCCAACAUGGUAAAACCUCGUCUCUACUAAAAAUACAAAAAUUAGAGGGUGGGGGCAGGUGCCUGUAAUCCCAGCUACUGGGGAGGCUGAGGCAGAAGAAUCACUUGAACACAAGAGGCAGAAGUUGCAGCAAGCUGAGAUUGCACCACCACACUCCAGCCUGAGUGACAGAGCGAGACUCUAUAUCACAAAACAAAACAAAAACAAACCAGUCAGAGUCUUCAUUCUCUUUCCCAAGUAAAAUCUACAUUCCUCCUGCUUUUCAAAACAUUCCAACAUGUAUUUAAUGAUUCUCAGAGAGAAAAAAAAUACAUUUGGAGGAAAAUUAAGGGAGCUUUUAUACUGUUAUUUACAUUGAUACCUCACAAAUGAAGAUAUAUUUAUAUAUCUACCAAAGCCCCUGAAUCUUCUACAUUGCAAAAUACAUAUAAUUUUUCAUGGAAUGAACUGACUACUUUGCAGUUUUAUUUUCAGUUAUUGAUACUACCUGGUGAACAAAUUAUUUUAACAAAGAAAAUAAGGAAAACCAUGUAGAAUUAUGAAUCAUGGGGUUAUAGGUUUAAAAGGCAAAAAGGAACUUAGAAUUUUACUGAUGAAUGGAAAUCAGACGAUAUGUUGGCAUUUCUUCAAACUAACCCCAUGCUUUAAGUUGAAGCACCUUCAUAUUUCAAAGCACAUUCUGCCAGAGUUUCAUAUAAAGGCAUUUCAAUUUAAUUUAAAUUGGCUAAAACAAUUAGAUAGCUUUUUCUCUCCUAAAUGACUUGCUUUUGCAAUGGAUAUAAAAGGCAUUAGCUUUUAAAAAAAAUUAGAGCAGGUAUGAGGAUUUGUCUCUUGAGAUACACACUGAUUAUUAAUAAAGAGGUUGUGAAAAUUGAACAUGACUUUCAGCCAACUCAGUAACAUGAACUCUAAGUGACAAGUGACAUUAAGAGCCCUUGAGAAGCAGGUCACUGUCAGAAGAAGGAGAUACAUGUAAGUAUAAAAAAAAUAAAAUAUUACCUUUGUAAAGAAGUUUAACUUCAUUUUUUAACUUGAGGAUCACAGUGAGCUAAAGAAAACUUGUUCAAGAGAUUGUUACAUCGGAUUUUUUUUUAAAAGUCUUGUCUACUUGUCAGUAUUCUAAAGAACUUCAUGAUAUUAUUCAAUUUUCUUCAAAUUCUUCAAAAGCUUCCCUUACUCUUAAGCUGUAGUCUAUGCCUUGUAAUAAUGACACACACGCACGCGCGCACACACACACACACACACACACACACACAUAUAUAUCUCCGUGAUUAAUUUCUUUAAUUUAUGGUUGGCUAAAUCCUUAAACCCCAUAACUUGGUUGCACUUCUGUUGUCACGCCUUGGGUAUUGCUGUUGUUCAAAAUUGCUGCACCUCUCAAACCUCAUCUUUAAUCACACACUUUGUCUUUCUUAUAACAAUUCAUUUUCCCUUUAUCAAAUACCUACCAUUUCUGUCCUUCACAGUAGUUUCUGUAAUUAUAUAAUCAAACUCAAUCAAUAUAACAGAAGACAUAAGACACUUGUGUUUUGAAUUCUUUAAUUCACUACAAAUGCUCUGCUAUUUUUGCAUUCAUAAUUUUAAACUGUAAAUAACAAUAACUACUAUUGUCAGUUAGAAUUUGGGGAGAAAGAAGAAGCAGGCUAGUGGGUUGUACUAACAUACAAAUGUUUUGUGAAUCCAUUCCUUUCAGGCUUCUGCAUAAUACCUUUUUUUUCCUCUUUAAUGGAGAGAGCUGCUACAAAGCAGAGUAACCCCAAAUGCCCAACAGCUCUGUGACUCAGACAGAUGUUUAAAUGUUGGGAAUAGGAUGGCUAUGCAAGUGCUAACAGUUCUUUCCAUAUGAAAUAUAAAGGAAAACCAGGAGAUCUAUAGGAAACAUUAAGAUUUUGGUAAUGCAAAAAAAAAAUAAAUAAAAUUAAAUGUCCAAGGAAAUCACCAAAAGUUUCCCAAAAUAGUCGGAUAAUUUCAGCUUUGUUCUGAAAGUGGUAGUCCCAAGAAUUUCCUCUCAGAAUUUCUCCUCUAAUGUGGAGGAAAGUUUAGUCUGUGUCAGGGUUUCACAUGGCCUUUUCCUCAGUAAGGCUUCUCAAAUAUGUUUAUUCUACUUUUAUCCACAGGACAAAGCCAUCUUUGGUGAAGAUAAAUAAGAAACACCUGUUCUUUAUACUAUGUCAGCCAGUAUGAUGUUGGUGUGGGGAUAAGAAAAGCAGACAUUGUUAAUGAAACUAUUACAAGCUUUUUACGUAAAUGUCUUCCAAGAAUUGCCCCCCUGGGGUCCUCUUGGCUUCUCUCUCCUGUCGUGGAACCAUGCCUCACAAAGCAAGGGCUGUUGGCCCAGAGUACUCUCUGCUUACUGCAUGAAAGAAGAACCUCUGAUUCAUGCAUGAGGCUGGAUGAAUGAAAGGAGCCCAUAGCUCUCCAUCAUACUCCCCUGAAACAUAGCCUCAGCAACAAGCUUCUAAGGGCAGAACGAGAAAUGAUGAAGCCCCGCUCCUCCUGGGAAGCAGAAAACUACAGCUGAAAGAUGGGGAGGAGUUUUGGAAUUUUCACCACUUACCAGUUAUUUUGGAGAGCUGAUCAGUAGAACGCCUCAUGCUGUCAUCAUAGAAGUUGAUCAAAGUAUUGUUUUCUUUCAGUCCACUAAUUAUAUUUUGUCCUCAAAUUAUAUUCUACCAAAAUUCUGUUUCACCAUAGUCCAAGUAUUUUAAAAAGUUUUCUUGCCCUGUUCUUAUUAUGCAAAACGUAAGAACUAUCCUUUUCCACCAUCUCUUUGAAAAAUCAAAUAUAAAACUGAAACACAAUUCUGUUCCUUUCAUGGUAAUCUUUUCUAUAGUACUCUAUUUUCUGCUCAUUGCUGACAGUAAUGACCACAUAUUACAUUUCAAAUAUGUAUCUAGUUUUCCUAAUCCCUUAUCAAAUAUAUAUUUAUGAAUUGCAGUGGCAGUAUAAACACUUCCAUCUAUAUCUUCAUAUGUAGAAAGCACAGUUUCUUGCACAGGAGAGACGCAAUAAGUAUAGUGUCUAUUAUGACCACAUUUAUAAGUCAAAAAGGAGUUUGAAAUGUUUCUACUUAAAAAGUCCUCCUUUUUCAAAAAUUCUGUGAGACUUUGUGUAGAACAGGAAUUAUUACUUUCUUAAAGUGUGUAGUAGAAUUCACCAGUGAUAGCCUCUAUUCCUGGAGUUUCUUUUGUGCAAUGAUUUUAAACUAUAAAACCAGUUUAGUUGACAGCCUUGAGGCUAUUAAAUUGUAUCCUAAUUACAUCUAUUUCUUUUAAAUGUCUUUCUUAAAUUGACAAAUAAAUUGUAUGUUUUUAUGUAUAAUAUGAUGUUUUAAAGUAAAAUUAGCUAAUUAACAAAUGUAUAACCUCAUAUUUAUUCUUGAAUACGUUUUAUUUUUAUGUUUUUCUGAUAAUUUUUCUAAUUCAUCUAAGUUGGUGACUUUAUUGGAAUGAAGUUGUUGUUAAUAUUAUCACAACUAACCUGUUAAUACUUUAAAUAUUGAAGUGGUGCCAACUCUCUCAUUUCUUAUAUUGCAGACUUUCUUGAUAGUCAACAACUUUAUGAAUCUAUUCAAAAUCCCAGCUUUAUUUUAAUUGCCACAUUGAUUAUUUUUAUUUUUAUUUUCAAAACAUGGCUUUCCUCUCUGGUCUUUAUUAUUAUUUUUCUUUUCAAUCAUAUAUGAUUCUUUUCUUUGUUUCUAAAAUUGGAAGCUAAAAUUAUGGACCUCAUAUUUUUAUUCAUAUUAUAGUUGUUUAGUGUUAUAAAUUUUCCUCUUAGAAGUGCUUUAGUUCCAUCAUCUAAUAAAUUUUGAUAAAAUGUUGCUUGUUUAUAUUGGUGAACCACUACCAAGAGAUAAAAGUUUUAUUAACUUUCUCUCAAUAUAACAUUUUCCCCUGCUAAUGCUUAUCUGUACUACUUGCUUGGUAUCCAAUGAAAUUCUAUCCCACUUUUUGAAUAGUUUCAUCUGGUAAUUAAUCACAUACAAUUUUAUGUAUACAUUUACUGUUUUAGUAGUUUUAAUGCAUAUGCCCUUAAUAUUUGAAGUGAUAUCAUCUAUUAAAGAGUGAAGUCUGUGGUGGUUUUUUCUCUUAAUUUACACACUGAACAUCUAAACUCAUGGUUAUCAAUGAAAAUCGAUUGAAUUACAUUGAUGUAAUUAACUGAGAUUGAAACAUGGUCUGAUUUUAUAGUGAAAUACGUGGGAAUCUGGAAACAAGUUUUUCUUUUAUAUAAGAUUUCCUCUGAGUAUGUUAGAAAAAUAUAAUAUUCUUCUACAUCCCAUGACACUGACCAUCCAAGAUAGCAUCAGCAGCUCAGAUCCCAAAUCUUCACGGCAUUGAAAUAUAGAUGCUUUUUGUUUGUUUGUUUUAAUGCCAAAAGGUUAAAAAUGUGGAGAAACUUUACAAUGAGACCCAAAUAGUUACAGUAUUCAAUGUUGCUAGCACUGACCACAUUUAUAAGUGACAAAGGAGCCUAUGUAUCCUUGAAUAAAUGUCUCUGUGUGAUGUAUGACUCUAAAGCUGAAAUGACACUUGCUGUAUCAAUUUCCUCAGCUGUAAACUGAGGAUAAUAGUGAUAUACAUUGCCUAGGAAUGUGUGAGUAUAAAACUUACAAUGUUUGUGACAUUUGGAUCGAACUGUAUGAUACUUGGUACAUUAAUGAUAAUUAUUCACUUUCUCAAAACUUCAGGGAUUUUAAAUACAUAUACAUACAAACACAUAUGCUAUUUGUAAUACAAAAUAAUCUUGUGAAAAUGAGUUAAUCUAUUUAAUGUGGAGAUCAGAUUUUGGCAACCUAUAGUUUAUGGACCAAAUCCAGCCUGUUAUCUGUUUUGUAAAUAAAAAUUUAUUGGAGCACAAUCCUACUCUUUGAUUUAUUAAUUGUCCAGGGAAGUUUUCACACUACAGCAGCAGAACUGAGGAGUUGUGCCAAAGAUCAUGUGGCCACAAAUUGUGACACUUACUCUAUGGAACCUAAGGUCUUUGCUACACACACACACACAGGCACACAGACUCACACACGUUUGUCACCAACUCCUGGUAUAGAAUAUAGCUUAUAUUCAGUAUCAAAUUGCCAGUCUCCCUUAUCAGCCUAAUAAGUAUUUUAAUUUGUAGUUAU